rnacentral:rRNA from 1 species
CAGCCGCCACGGUAAUACGUAGGUGGCAAGCGUUGUCCGGAAUUAUUGGGCGUAAAGGGCUCGCAGGCGGUUUCUUAAGUCUGAUGUGAGAGCCCCCGGCUCAACCGGGGAGGGUCAUUGGAAACUGGGAAACUUGAGUGCAGAAGAGGAGAGUGGAAUUCCACGUGUAGCGGUGAAAUGCGUAGAGAUGUGGAAGAACACCAGUGGCGAAGGCGACUCUCUGGUCUGUAACUGACGCUGAGGAGCGAAAGCGUGGGGAGCGAACAGGAUUAGAUACCCCUGUAGUCCCUGUCUCUUAUAC